rnacentral:hammerhead_ribozyme from 1 species
ACACUGCUGAAGAGUCCCAAACUAGGACGAAACGGCAGUCCAAUAC